GCCGAGUUAGCUCAGAUGGUUAGAGCGCAAGAUUGAAAAUCUUGAUGUCGCCAGUUCGAUUCUGGCACUUGGCA
rnacentral:tRNA from 1 species